CUUGGUCAUGCACUUUUUAGACGGCCCCUUAGUGACUCCAUAAAUAUAAAGCGUGUGUGUCCUGUUCCCCUAAUGUUUUGUACAAUCCUAUGAGAAAGAUCACACUUGAAGCAUUCAGCUUGUGCAUUUAUCCCAGAUUUCAGCUCCUCUUUCCCAUAAAACAUCAGCACAGAUUGAGAAUGGGAGAUAAACGGACUACUGUAACAGUUAAAAAUCUAACUUUAUCCACGUGGACCGUCUGCAUCUCUGGUUACUAUGGAAAUGCUCAUCGCAGAUUCAUAGUUAAACCUGGCGAAAUAAACCCUCAGACUGGUUCCUUCUGUUGUGAAUAUCCAGAAAUCAAGUUGAAGUAUGGAGAUUGCUCAACGCCAGCCUGUUGCGAUAAUGCAGAUUUAUUUUGCAAAUUUUAUUACAAAGAUGACCUACGUUUCUCUAUUGGAGAGAGUGGAGACCACCGUGCAAUACAUCUGGACUGCAAUGCCAAGACUUAUGACCCAAAGCAACUAACAUGCAAAAGUUAUGGAUCUUGAUGGACCAAAGUCCCCAAAAAAACAUAGGUGCUACCCCAGCUGGUGGGAAAUUUUUUUUUUUAAAUGCAUCUUAAUUAAUUAGAAUAUCAUUAAAAGUUGAUUUAUUUCAGUAGUUCAAUUCAAAAGGUAAAACGUAUAUAAUAUAGAUUCAUUACACACAGACUGAUAUAAUAAAUGUUUAUUUCUUUUCAUUUUGUUGAUUUUGGCUUACAGCUAAUGAAAACCCAAAAUUCAGUAUCUCAGAAAAUUUGAAAACUUGAAAUGGUCUCACAAUCGUGGACCCAAUCGUGGGGAAGCACAUUAAUAAAAUUGAGGCAUUUAUGAGAUUCCAUGUUACUUAGACUGUGUAAAAAAGGCCUCAUUGUUUAUCGUUUGCUACUUCUUAAAGGAACCAUAUUUCAUUAAAAAAAAAAUUAUCUGCAAGUUAAAAUAUGACAUAUAAUCAUAUUUCAAUGGACUAGUUUUUCUUUAGCAUUGAUAAAGACAUAAUACAAUGAUUUUAAAGGGCUAAUUCUUAGUUCAUUAUUCACUUAUGCCCAAUUAUACAACCUUCUUUAUUCAGAUGAAUACAAAGAUUUUUAUGAAAAUUAAAACAUAAUGUUCAUGACAAUAAUUUAUAUGACCCAAGUGAAUGAAUCAUAGUCCUCCAAUAAAAAACAGUUGUUUGCAAGAAACACAGUAAUAUUUGCAAAGUUUAACUUUAAAUCUUUAAUUAAUCAUACAGAGGAUGUUCUAACCCCAAGUUCUAAGUGCAUUGUGGAGUUAGAGUUUAAGGUCAGUGGGUCAGUUUGAGAAAUAAUGUUGGAUGCAUGGAGGAUCAUCAAAGUUUUAUAUUUGCUUACAUCAUAUUAUAUCUUCGUAUAAUGGUAUUAGGAAGAUCACAUACCUUGGUGAUCUUCCUAAUAACAUUAUACUGAAAGCAUUGUUUAUCUGAAGACAUAUACAGUGGAAAAUCCAUAAAAGCUUUUAAUGUCUAAGAGUUUAGGGAUUUGCGCAUAUGUGUCUUUGGUUGUGCUUUAGUUUUGAGACUAAUUUGUGUUUGCAGUGUUUUGAAACUGGUACACAUGUGUUUACCGGGCUUUUUUCACGUACAUUGGAACCUUGGAUUAUGAGCAUAAUUCAUUCCGAAAGCAGCCUCGUAUUUCAAACCACUCAUAAACCAAAUCGAAUUUUUUAGUAAAAAAUAAUGGAAACUCAAAUUAUUCGUUCCACAGCCUGAAAAAAUAAAUACUUAAAAAUAAUUAACACAAAAUAUUAAAUAAAAAUAAAACAAAUUAACCUGCACUUUACCUUUGAAAAUAAUCGCGACAGAGCAGUGUUUCUGUGUAGAGCAGAAAAUUAUCCACAAUUCCGCAGCCCAAGAAAAAGAAAAACCGUUGGCUCAGUUGUGAUCACGUGACGCUCGGCGUCAAAACAGGAAGCGCAUGCAUGAUACAUGAUACUCUGUACUCCUAAACUAAGACUUGUUCGUUUUUCAAGUCAAAAUGUAUUAAAAAUCUAACACUCGCAAACCGCAUUACGAAGGAGUUUUAAUUUACUUAGAUGUUGUUUUUAGGUUUUUCCCUUUUUUAUUUGGGCACACUGGUCAUUGUACUCAUUUAGUUUUCCUUUUUUUUUUUUUUUGCUUAGUUAUCCGUGUUUAUCUUAAAUUGCUUUAUUUUGCUUAAGUUGUAACAGCUUUGCAUAUUAAAACAAUAAAAGGACUACCUUCCAUUGCGAGGCUAGUGCCACAAGUGCUGUGUUCCAGUACUGUUUUCUUGAAGAUUGGGAGAGAUGACUACAGUAAGCUACACUCUCAAGGUCUUAUUCUAAAGUUAGUGCUGAAUCUAUAAAGGCCUGAUAUUUUGAGUAUUUGGUCAUGUCCAUGGUUCCCAGAGCUCAAGCAGUCAUUUACUGCAAAGGAUUUUUUUCCAAACAUUAAAGCCAAUCCUUAUGUUUGUAA